rnacentral:rRNA from 1 species
CCUGAGAAACCCGAAAGAUCGAAUGGGGAGAUUCACCGUCAGCGACGUCGGCUUCACGGUGGUUCGCGAUGCGCGGCGCCUUCACGGGCGACGUCGCACGCGGCCGUCGUGUUUUUCAUGUCCGGCGGCGUCGGCGUGCACUUCUCCCCUAGUAGGACGUCGCGACCCGUUGGGUGUCGGUCUACGGCCUGGGUCGUCGCCUGUCCCGUCGCUUCGGCGUUGCGGGGCAGACACCCGGUAGCCCGGCCGGCUGCCCGGCGGUACUCGCACGGUAUCUGGCCGCAAUCCUCGAACUGCGUCUCAGGCCCGCCGCAAGCGCGGUCAGUGUAUACCCGGAGGUACGGACCCAGUGCCGUCCCCGGGCCUGGCCCGCUGUUCGCCGGCGGUGUCCUCUGACAGGCCACGCGUUUCGUUGAUACCGGUCGGCGACGCUACUGCUUUGGGUACUUUCAGG